rnacentral:lncRNA from 1 species
AGAAAUUAAGGUGAAUUUUAUUACAGCAAGUUAUAACAAUGAAGACAGAGGUCAGUUUUUUUUUCUUACUGUAUUCCACUGAUUGAUAUAAGACGAUGUGGAAGAGUGCCAAUGACACAUCUCUAAAUCCAAGUCUCAAUUUAUAAACGUAAAACCAUUAUAGGUCAUAGUACGGUCUUCAACACGAAGCCUUGGCUUACAACGAACAGCAAGCUAUACAGGGCCCAAAAUGAGUAAAGUAAAACCAUUCAAACGGGAAACAAACGGUCUAAUCUAUAUAAAAAAAAACGAGAAACGAUAAACACUUAUGAACCACAUCAACAAACGAUAACUACUGAACAUCAGAUUUCCUGACUUAGGAUCGGUGCAAACAAUUAAAUGGCAUGUGCUUGCAUUUCCUAUCAUGAUUUUCUUGAUAGAGGGUUGCUACUCACAAGGACACUAUUAAACCAAGAGUUCCAAAUGGUGAAGUUGAAAUCAUCCCUUCGUAAAUUUUACGGACGCCAUCACGAGUUGGUUGAUCGUUAUGGAAUAACCGUUUCACAAAUGAUAGCGGAUAUGUUCCUUACGUCGUAACUACAAUCCCCUUCCCUUUCAUGAAUAUGACCUACCGAAAUAGACUAUUUGCCAGAUAUGUUAUCACAUAAGCAACACGAUGGGUGCCAUAUGUGGAGCAGGAUCACCUUACCUCUCUGAGAUCACCCCUAGUUUUCUGAUGGGGUUCGUGUUGUUUAUUCUUUAGUUCUCUAUGUUGUGUCAUGUGUGCUGUUGUUUGUUUGUCUUUUUCAUUUUUAGCCAUGUCGUUGUCAGUUUGUUUUAGAUUUAUGAGUUUGACUGUCCCUUUUGUAUCUUUCGUCCCUCUCUUUGACAUUCUGGGAAAUAAAUCAAAAACGAAAUAUCCAAAUGAGCUAAAGUGUUGAACAUUAAUUGCUGAAAACCCUGUAACUACAUUUCCAAGACCAAUAUUUAAAGAAGCAAAUUAUCAGGAUCAAUAUUAUAAAAUUAAUCUCAGUUAAAGCAACAUUCUGAUUGGAUCAACUUUUCAGUUGAAAUGUUGUUAUACAGAGAUUGUAUUGAACAGUUCCUCUAUAAUUAAUCAUAAUGAUACAGAUAUAGAGCCAAUUGACGAAAGAUACCAUCGAUGAUAGUCCAAUUGCAGAUCUAAUUCAAAUGGUCUCUUCGUUCGGCGUCUUUUUAAUUUCCCUAAGCAAGUCAGGAACAUGUCAAUUAUUAAUUACUUAGUAGUCGGUUUUUGUGUAUAUUGGCGUUUGUUUUUGUAGCUGUUUAAUGUUUCUGUUUGUUGUUUUCUUUUAUGAUUGCUGUGAUUUUGGUUUUUAACCUCUAAUUUAGUUAAAUCAAUAUAUGACUAUUGAACAUUGUUAAACGUUGCCUUUGUUAAUGAUGCUUUUGAAUUUCCAUAUUUUUGUUGUUUUAAGUUUAACUGAUGAAAUAAGGUCACAGUAGCUGUACCAGUAUUAAAAUUUUGUAAAUGAAUUGUGAAGAGACAAAUCAAUGUUACAAAUUAUUUGAGCGGAUUACAUCAACCCCAAAAGGAGCGAGAUCGGGUGUAUCGACAGGAUAAACGUCUUCUGUUAUGCAGAUACCAACCGCGUGUUACCAAUCGCCAUUCGAAUUCAUAAUUCACAAGCAGUCUAUCAAAUAAGCUUCUGUAUCCUGUAACUGUCAAUUACGCUCUAAUACAACAUGGUUAAUGAUCCAGUAGUAUAUUAAAUAUUUAUAAUAUCCUGUUGUUAUUGUUUACGUC